rnacentral:ncRNA from 1 species
AAGGAGAGGAUGAGGCCAAGUCAUCAUGCCCCUUAUGCCCUGGGCGACACACGUGCUACAAUGGGCGGGACAAAGGGUCGCGAUCUCGCGAGGGUGAGCUAACUCCAAAAACCCGUCCUCAGUUCGGAUUGCAGGCUGCAACUCGCCUGCAUGAAGNAGGAAUCGCUAGUAAUCACCGGUCAGGCAUACGGCAGUGAAUCCGAUCCCGGGCCUUGUACACACCGCCCGUCACACUAUAGGAG